GAGCAUCCAAUAACACCACAUGAUUUCAAUAUUGCUCAACAUAAUGAAUAUACUAGAAGUCGGGAAUUUCAUGGAGAAGAUGAUGCAUUUGAAUCAUAUCGUCUGCUUGGGUACUCCAGUCAUACCGAAGAUCCAUAUGACUAUGUCUACCAUAAGUUGCCAGAUAGACACCAUGUUCUGCGAAAAAUACCUGAUUGUUGUUAUUGCGGAGCCAUGAAAUUUGAAUUUGAGCCACACGGAAUGUGUUGCAGAAAGGGAAAGAUUAAAGUGCACAUACCUGAUGUUCCUACUGAGUUGAAAAGGUUGUUCACCAGUCAGGGAGAUGACGAUGCAAAAUAUUUUAGAAAAAACAUACGGUACUUCAACUCUCAUUUCUCCUUCAUCAGUCUUGGAGUUACAUUGGACCGAUGAGUUAGCACAGCAGCUAAUACGGGUAUAUAUACAUUUCGUGUCCAAGGUGCCUUGUAUCAUCGUCUCGACCAUUUAGUGCCCGGUUCUCAAGGCCCUCGUCAUUUGCAACUUUACUUCUAUGAUACAGAAGAUGCUACAUUGGCCCACAGGACACGGAGAUCACCAGACCUUGAUAUUAAUAUCAUUAAAAAUAUCUUGACAAUAUUAGAGGGAAAUCCAUAUGUACAAACUUUCAAUAGACUUGGAUCCAUUCCAAAUCUAGAUGACUAUGUUAUUGAACUCAACACUAAUGUAACGCCUGACCAACGAAGGUACAAUGCGCCCACUGCCUCACAAGUUGCUGCUAUUUGGUUCGAAGGAAAUGACCCACAAAGAAGUUUUGAUAGAAGUGUGAUCAUAUAUGCUACAGGAGAUCGCCCUACAUGUAUCAAAGCAUACCAUGGUUGUUACGACCCAUUGGCAUAUCCAUUAUUUUUUCCUCGGGGCCAAACUGGCUGGAAUCGGUUUAUGCCAUACAAUGAAACCCCUACAGUAAAUGCUACAUUCAAUGCUCCUGACCACAAUGAUACUCGAUCUGUUAAUAAUGAA